UAACCAUGAUGAAGACAUUUUCUGAGAUACUCUCUGAAUCUCUCCCAAGCUUCAUUGAAAGAAUCACCGCCAUUCUGUUGAAAUUGAGUGAUCUUAAUUCUGAGUGA
rfam:Eutrema salsugineum unplaced genomic scaffold scaffold_20, whole genome shotgun sequence.